CUUCUUGGGCUACACGUAUACAUACUUCUCUCUCUCUUCCCCGAAUAAAAAUAAAAACCCUCUCUUUUUAGCGUUCCAGAAGAAUCCAAAGUCUUCAAUAUCUCUCCAUUCUCUCUAAUAUAAUCUUCGCAGAAGGAGAAAAAAUGAGCAGCCGUGCUAGCCGCACUCUUUAUGUAGGUAAUCUUCCGGGAGAUAUUCGUCAGAGAGAAGUAAAAGAUUUGUUUUACAAGUAUGGGCCUAUUGUUGAUGUUGAUUUGAAAAUCCCACCGAGACCUCCUGGCUAUGCUUUUGUUGAGUUUGAAGAUGCUCGUGAUGCUGAAGAUGCUAUUCGUGGUCGUGAUGGCUAUAACUUUGAUGGAUGUCGCUUACGAGUUGAGCUUGCACAUGGUGGGCGAAGACAUUCAUCUCCCGGAGACCGUUAUAGCAGUUAUAGUGGUAGCAGCGGAAGCCGUGGACCUUCCAGGCGCUCUGACUAUCGUGUUAUGGUCACUGGAUUGCCUUCUUCUGCCUCAUGGCAAGAUCUCAAGGAUCAUAUGCGACAAGCUGGGGAUGUUUGCUUUUCUCAGGUCUUUCGUGAUCGUGGUGGUAUGACUGGAAUUGUAGAUUAUACAAACUAUGAUGAUAUGAAACGCGCUAUCAAGAAACUUGACGACUCGGAGUUUCGAAAUGCAUUUUCUCGGUCUUAUGUACGGGUAAGGGAGUAUGGUUCAAGGAGGAGCUACUCUAGGAGUCCCAAUCGUAGCCCAUAUGGCCGAAGCAGGAGCCUAAGCCGAAGCCGAAGCCAAAGCUAUAGUCGUAGUCGUAGCUAUAGCGAGAGGAGCAGAUCUCCUAGGGUUAAAUAUUCUCGCCGAUCUCGAUCUUUAUCUGUUUCUUCACAUUCUCAGGCAGGGUCAUCUCCUGGAUCUUAUAGAUCUGGCUUUGUGCAGUGACCUGGGAUUGGAUGUUAAGAACUUGAUGUGAUGUGGUGCUCAUAUCUGCAUCUCUUUGGUGGUUGAGGUAAUGCGAUUUUUGUUGAUGAGCACCUCUCAAACAUCCUAACAAUCUUAUAAUGCUGUUGUGGUGAUGUGUCAUUUAGUGCUAGAAUUGAUCAAGUGUGGAUGGGUCGCAAAUAAAGCUGGAUACUCAGAUCUAAGUGCUAUUCCUACCAUCCCACACAUCAGCUGCAUAAACAAAACUCUUCCCCCUGGACUUGGUGAUACAGAUAGGGAGGGUGUAGUUCUCUUCUUAUCUGGUAUGGAUGGGGAGGAUGUCUUAACUUUGGCCACUGGUUCUAUGGUGCUCUAGAAUUUUUCUUUCUUCUACAUGUUGACUAUUUUCUUAAUCUGCUGGGAAAGGCCAUUAUGAAAAGUGUGAGGUUGUAUUUUAUCAUAUGGUGCAUUUAAUUUUCAUUUUUUAAGUCGCUUCUAAAGAUAGGUGGUAUUGUCUGUUUCUUUUGGUUGCUGGUCACUCUGAGGUGGAAGUGGCAAUGAGGCUUUUGGAUCAAGGAUUAUAAUGGGUUCUUGUGGAUAAUUGGGUUGUUUCUGGAAAUUUUUGCAGAUCAAGGUCAAGAUCAAGAUCUCCUCUUGCAUCUCCUUCCAGCAAACGAGCAGGUAGAAGCCCAACCAAACGUGGUAGAAGCAAAAGCUAUGGAUCUCGAUCCCGUUCACCUGUGAGAUCUGAUCGAAGCCGAUCAACAGGCUCUAUGGACUCGAGGGAUGGAUAUUGAAGAUUUUUCUCUGCGUAGUUGUAAAAUCUAAUUGGCCUGGUGGAAGGAAACCUUUUAAAAAAAAAAAAAAAACCCUAGAUGUAGCUUAAACAUACGAAUCAUUACAUUUCGAGCUAUUUUUUUCAAUUUAUGAUGUCACAUUUGCUUUUUUAACUGAUGUUGGAGAAUGGAGAGGCCAUUCAAAUCGAUGUUUGACAUGUUUGAAUAAGUUGUCAUGUACGCUUAUGGGGAAAUUGACCUGAAAGAUGUGAUUAUGUUAAAUAA